ACUUGCCAUUUUUUUUUUUCCCUAGCAGAUUCAAGCCCCAGUAAGACAACAGCCAAAGGUUCAAACAACCCCACCUCCUGCCGUCCAGGGGCAGAAACUCGGAUCUCUCACUCCUCCAUCAUCCCCCAAGACCCAACGUGCUGGGCACAGACGGAUUCUCAGUGACGUAACCCACAGCGCAGUCUUUGGGGUCCCUGCCAGCAAAUCAACCCAGCUGCUCCAGGCAGCUGCAGCUGAGGCCAGCCUCAAUAAGUCCAAGUCUGCAACCACCACUCCAUCAGGUUCUCCUCGGACCUCGCAGCAAAACGUUUAUAAUGCUUCAGAAGGUUCUACGUGGAAUCCCUUCGAUGAUGACAAUUUCUCCAAACUCACAGCUGAGGAACUGCUGAACAAGGACUUUGCCAAGCUGGGGGAAGGUGA